rnacentral:rRNA from 1 species
UACCAGCUCGCCGAGUGGUAGGGAUGAUUAUUGGGCCUAAAGCGUCCGUAGCUGGCCUUUCAAGUCUCUUGUUAAAUCCAACGAUUCAAUCGUUGGACUGCAGGAGAUACUGCAAGGCUAGGAGGCGAGAGAAGCCGACGGUAUUUUCGGGGUAGGGGUAAAAUCCUAUAAUCCCGAGAAGACCACCAGUGGCGAAGGCGGUCGGCUAGCGCGCGCUCGACAGUGAGGGACGAAAGCUGGGGGAGCGAACCGGAUUAGAUACCCGGGUAGUCCCAGCUGUAAACGAUGCUGGCUAGGUGUUGAAGCGGCCACGAGCCGCUUCAGUGCCGCAGGAAAGCCAUUAAGCCAGCCGCCUGGGGAGUACGGCCGCAAGGCUGAAACUUAAAUGAAUUGACGG